AAGUCGUAACAAGGUUUCCGUAGGUGAACCUGCGGAAGGAUCAUUAUCACGUAUCCAAACGUUAAAACCCCCCCCGUGAACCUUCAUCCUGCUCUUGUAACCCGCGUAGUUCGCUGAUAAAUCAUAGCCCGGAAAGUUGUAGUGAUUCAGAGACCUCUGGCUACGUGCGAACAUUGGAACAGUUACAAUUGCGCGGUAGUUCUAUAGGCAAUGUUUCCCCAAGCAGUCAGUGUUCCUGUAGACCGUACACUCGGGCAGGAGCUUUGCCAAAGGGUCCCCAUGCCCCCUAAUAACCGCACAGUUUAAUGUGAAGCUCAAUGUAAUACAUUGGGUAAAAAAACCGAACAACUGUUAACAAUGGAUAUCUUGGUUCUC
rnacentral:misc_RNA from 1 species